UACGUAGGGUGCAAGCGUUGUCCGGAAUUAUUGGGCGUAAAGGGCUCGUAGGCGGCCAACUAAGUCAUACGUGAAAUCCCUCAGCUUAACUGGGGAACUGCGUGUGAUACUGGAUGGCUUGGAUUUGGGAGAGGGAUGCGGAAUUCCAGGUGUAGCGGUGGAAUGCGCAGAUAUCAGGAGGAACACCGGUGGCGAAGGCGGGUCUCUGGGCAGUAACUGACGCUGAGGAGCGAAAGCGUGGGGAGCGAACAGG
rnacentral:rRNA from 1 species